rnacentral:rRNA from 1 species
AGUGAACGCUGGCGGUAGGCCUAACACAUGCAAGUCGAACGGCAGCACAGUAAGAGCUUGCUCUUACGGGUGGCGAGUGGCGGACGGGUGGGGAAUACAUCGGAAUCUACUUUUUCGUGGGGGAUAACGUAGGGAAACUUACGCUAAUACCGCAUACGACCUACGGGUGAAAGCAGGGGAUCUUCGGACCUUGCGCGAUUGAAUGAGCCGAUGUCGGAUUAGCUAGUUGGCGGGGUAAAGGCCCACCAAGGCGACGAUCCGUAGCUGGUCUGAGAGGAUGAUCAGCCACACUGGAACUGAGACACGGUCCAGACUCCUACGGGAGGCAGCAGUGGGGAAUAUUGGACAAUGGGCGCAAGCCUGAUCCAGCCAUACCGCGUGGGUGAAGAAGGCCUUCGGGUUGUAAAGCCCUUAUGUUGGGAAAGAAAAGCAGCAGGUUAAUACCCCGCUGUUCUGACGGUACCCAAAGAAUAAGUACCGGCUAACUUCGUG